UACGGAGGGAGCUAGCGUUGUUCGGAAUUACUGGGCGUAAAGCGCACGUAGGCGGCUUUGUAAGUUAGGGGUGAAAGCCCGGAGCUCAACUCCGGAAUUGCCUUUAAGACUGCAUCGCUUGAAUCCGGGAGAGGUGAGUGGAAUUCCGAGUGUAGAGGUGAAAUUCGUAGAUAUUCGGAAGAACACCAGUGGCGAAGGCGGCCACCUGGGCCGACCCUGACGCUGAGGCGCGAAGGCGUGGGGAGCGAACGGG
rnacentral:rRNA from 1 species